rnacentral:pre_miRNA from 8 species
GGCCCCAGCCUCCAAUUGGCUCCCGCCCCCUGUAACAGCAACUCCAUGUGGAAGUGUCCACUGAUUCCAGUGGGGCUGCUGUUAUCUGGGGCGAGGGCCGGUACCCACGAAGAAGGAG